rnacentral:lncRNA from 1 species
AUGGUGUUGUACUUUAGGAGCUCUCAGGCUGUGAAGAUGCAAUCAUAGCUGACUGAGGAUUUGGCAGUGUGGAGUGGAGUUGAGGUCAGGAAAAAAAGUGCUUGGAUUGAAGGAAAGGAAGAUUUAGAAAGGAAGAACAAUGGAUGGAUAGAAACACCAGAGGGCCUGGUGGUUUCUACGGUGAUGAGGGAGACGGUUGCCAUGGGAACAUGACAAGCAGCAGCCGCCCGGUGCUUUGGGGAGUGAUUGGUGGCAGCUCCUCCAGUCCUGAACUCUUGUCCUUUUUACUGUGACUCUCCCUCACCACCUAGACACGUCAGAUGAGCAGAGAGGGAGAUGGAGGAAUGAGACGGAGGAGUGAAAUUCUAGACAAAGAGCAGUGAGGUGAGGCCCCUAUCCACGCAGCCUGAGCCAGGCACCCCUGGAGGCCCUGUGGGGCCCUGCAGCAGAUGUCAAUGGGACAGGUGUCAGACGGCUAGCUGUUGGCAGCCAGCUACAGCACAGAGGUCACCUAAGCAGAGGAGCCUGCCUGUCUAUGACACCGGAGACACUGGAGGUGUUUGGGGUGGAGAGGACAAGUAAGAAGACAUCACUUACACAAUCAAUCAAAUGUAACUUACAUUCAGAGAACUACUCCUCCAG